AUUUCAAAGGCAAAAUGGAAAAAAGAAUAUAAAAUCUCUCAUUAAUAAUUGUUUGUAUUAAUUACACAUUGACAUGAUAAUAUUUUGGAU